GCCGCGGUGGCGAAACUGGUAUACGCGCAGGACUUAAAAUCCUGUGGUCGUCAAUCCGACCGUGUGGGUCCGAUUCCCACCCGCGGCA
rnacentral:tRNA from 4 species